rnacentral:rRNA from 1 species
GGUGAACGCUGGCGGCGUGCCUAAUACAUGCAAGUCGAGCGAACAGAUAAGGAGCUUGCUCCUUUGACGUUAGCGGCGGACGGGUGAGUAACACGUGGGUAACCUACCUAUAAGACUGGGAUAACUUCGGGAAACCGGAGCUAAUACCGGAUAACAUUUGGAACCGCAUGGUUCUAAAGUGAAAGAUGGUUUUGCUAUCACUUAUAGAUGGACCCGCGCCGUAUUAGCUAGUUGGUAAGGUAACGGCUUACCAAGGCGACGAUACGUAGCCGACCUGAGAGGGUGAUCGGCCACACUGGAACUGAGACACGGUCCAGACUCCUACGGGAGGCAGCAGUAGGGAAUCUUCCGCAAUGGGCGAAAGCCUGACGGAGCAACGCCGCGUGAGUGAUGAAGGGUUUCGGCUCGUAAAACUCUGUUAUUAGGGAAGAACAAAUGUGUAAGUAACUGUGCACGUCUUGACGGUACCUAAUCAGAAAGCCACGGCUAACUACGU